AUAAUUUAUGUAUCAUUUGUGUGUUUCUUUAGGGUCUGCUGUGCAUUUCCCAAUAUAGAAGUAGGCUAUGGUGAGUUGAAGUGACUGUUCUACCUUAAAGGAGUGGUUCAGUACCAGCUAUAGAAAAUCCUGCAGGUGCUUGACAACAAAUUGGGUCUUUCAUACAUUACUUACUUAAUCUCCAUAGCAAUGUUGCAAGUGCCUAAAAAGCAUAAACACACCCUCGAUCUGUGCUGCUUUGCUGAUUAGCUGCCUCCUCCCACAUCGUUGAUAAGAGAGAUUUGUACAACUCCUGUGUGCCAGGCCCUGGUCAAAGCUGAUGGUCUCUCCUCUCCCUCACAGACUGCCUCUAAGCUCUUCAGAUUCAUGAAUUUUAACAAGUCCAUGAGCCAGCUCUCAACCAUGUCAUGAUGUGCCAAAAAAACCUGAUGUUCUUCACUGUUUCCUUGGCAUAUGCCCAGUUGGCAUUCAGUUGGAUGACUUAGGUACCUUCCAGGUAUAUGAAAGUCUGAAACAGUAGUCACAGAACAUGACGUGGAAUGAAUUCAGAAAUUGAACAUGAUUGUCAGCACAUGAAAGGUGCCUCAGGGAGAGUGCAGUGACUGACAAGUGGUGACUGUGAGAUGCACAGGGAACAGAUGGAGCAGCUGGUGCGGUGCAUGAAAGGUCAAGUGCUGGGACUGAAGGUGUCCUGUUGCAGACAGGCCAGUGUCUCAGUGUGACCAUGAGAUUCAGCAGUCAGCCUUGCCCAGGUGUCCUCUCCAGUCUCCAGUGGACCUGGAAGUUGGAGGCAGAAGUGGGGGUGCCAGGAUCCACAUGUGUUACUGUGUGGUCCUGAGUGGAUUUGCCAUAACAAGUACAUUACUUAUGUCUGGUUUAUCAUACGAUGCUGGUCUUUAUAACUAAUCAUUAACCUUCUACACUAUUUUCCAUAAGCUUUACCCAUGGAUGAAAGAUUUUUUAACUUUUCCUCACAUGAUAGAUCUAGACUUUGAAAUAUUGAACUAAGGGGAAAAAACCUGGAAAGUAUGUUGAGAAGUACGCACAAUUGCUGCCCUGCCUAACUCUUCAGGUGACAAGUAGCUUUCUAAAGCUUGGAACUGUCAAAGGACUUCUGAGUAUGCUUCCAGCCACAAGUCAGUGCUGACAUCUUAACCAGUGUGUGGAGGAGGAGAGCAUUGGUUUCCACACUGAGGCAGCUCUGUGGUGGUUGUUCCUCUCAGGUACCCUCUACUGGUAAACUUGAACUAUACUGACAGACCAUAGCACAGCUAUGUCCCCAUUGUGCUGGAGUUUGUAUGAAUAGUUAGGAUGUUAAUACUACAUUUUUUUGCCUUCUUUCUCAUAGCUAAUGUCUAUGGAACUAGCUGUAUUACUUGUUUUUUGUUUUGUUUUUUAUUGUUAUAGCUCUGUUAAAUGGCCCCCCAAAUUUCCAGAUAGUAUCCCUAACUGCAACAGAAGAAUUUUAUGGAUCCUUAACUCACAAUAAGUUUGACUUUCAACAAUUUGUUCAGUGUGAAUAUUUUUAUGUCUUUUUCAUGCUUCCACUUACUUGAAACUCAGUUUAUUCUUAAAAACUGUCUAGUAGAACCAGCUUAUUAAGUGUUACUUUGGUAUGCAGUGAAAUGGUCAAUUAAGCAAUAUUGAAGAAAGAUACUUUGACUGUUUUGAAAUUUAUUAUGAAUCAUAAAACAAAAAUCAUUUCAUAGUAUUUCAGAGAUAAAGUCUCAACUGUUCUUAGUCCAGUAUGUCAGUAGAAUUUAUAGUGCAAAUAAAAUUUGCUUAAUUAAAAGAUUUUUUUUGAAAGUCCGUCUAUUAUCAGAAAGCACCAGGAAGAAGUUGUAUUAGUAGCUGCUGUUUUCAUUGGAAGAGUUUUUCAUUAAAUUUCUGUGUAAAAUCUAUUCUUAAUAAGAGAUUUUGUUUGUUUUCCAAACAUACUAUAUAGUAUGAUCUUUUGCAAUCGAAAUGGAUAAGGAAGAAACGAGUGAGGGCUGGUGAUGGUCUUAUAACCACUACAGAAACUCUGUGUUUAGUGCUGUAUCUUGUCUUCAUUCUCAUGUUGAUUAAUUACUAGAUGUUGUCAGUCAUGUCUCCAAUGAAAACAGGAGUGAUAGGGCUUUCUGAGUCAGUUGAUGAAUGAAUCAUACUAAUUUUUAGCAGUUUUUUCAUAUAAUUUUGUCUCCAUCUUUUCAGUAUGUUGACCAAGUUCUUCUAGGUGGUAAAGUUUGUGUUCCAGGUAUAUUGAGUUUAUGUAUUUAUCAUGUAUGCACUAUUGUUAGGUGAAAACAUACUUCAACUUGAUGGGCAGCUAUUAUUCAGUAUUCAUGUAUACUAAUGUUGAUAUAUAUUAGAUACUGUGUUUUACUAUACCUACAAGGUUAUACAAAAUUCUUUUCUUUUACUCAUGAGUUCCAUUUGUUUGGAUUUUUGGUUUGUUUAGAUUUUUUUUCUUCGUGUGUUAAAAAAUAUAGUUUAAUGCUUUUCCUGGUACCUUGCCCUUUGUUGGCAUAAUUGGAAUAUAAAUCGUUCAAAUCUCCACAAUUAAGAGUUUCAGAAAUAUGUGAUACUGGCCACUUGACUUAAUAAAGACUAGAUAUACAA
rnacentral:lncRNA from 1 species